UCCGGCAUGGUCUAGUGGUUAGGAUACCUGGCUAUGACCCAGGAGCCCUGGUUCACUUCCAGGUGUCGGAA